GUCUACUGCCAUACCACUCUGAACGCACCCGAUCUCAUCUGGUCUCGGAAGCUAAGUAGGGUCAGGCAUGGUUAGUACUUGGAUGGGAAAAUUAUUAAAUAAUAUUGACAAAAGGUA
rnacentral:rRNA from 1 species